rnacentral:lncRNA from 1 species
ACCGAGGAGCAUUCGACACGUGUGUCCCUCUGUCCAUUAACACAUUACCAACGCCUUUUGAGUAUUCCUCCCAGUGCAGGGUGCCGGGAACCCAGACGGAACAACUCAGCCUCUUUCCUCAGGGAAAGGAGGUCUGCUUAGACCCUGAAAAAAAAAGGGGGGGACUCAUAUCCUAAAACCAGCCUAUCUUUGCCUUGCCAUGAACUGACUGAUCUGGCCACAGGAGGCCUGAAGUCUGACUACCCCUCUAUAGAAACACAGAGAUAUUCUCUCUUUGGUAUUACCUCAACCAAGACUUGGAAAUUACAGCAUGGGUUUGAGUGCCUUCUUCCACUCCUCCUCCACUGUGCUGAAGAGAUAUUGAGUUCUUCCAGAUUUUUGCUUAGCUGGGUGGUUUCCAAACUCAAUGGACUCUCUAGGUAAAGCUCUGAGAAGCACAGUAUCACCAACUGUGCACUGCUGAAGGGCAUCGUGAGCAAAGUAGGUUUUCCG